GUUCUAACGUGGACCCGUAAUCCGGGUUGCGGACAGUGUCUGGUGGGUAGUUUGACUGGGGCGGUCUCCUCCUAAAGAGUAACGGAGGAGCACGAAGGUUGGCUAAUCCUGGUCGGACAUCAGGAGGUUAGUGCAAUGGCAUAAGCCAGCUUGACUGCGAGCGUGACGGCGCGAGCAGGUGCGAAAGCAGGUCAUAGUGAUCCGGUGGUUCUGAAUGGAAGGGCCAUCGCUCAACGGAUAAAAGGUACUCCGGGGAUAACAGGCUGAUACCGCCCAAGAGUUCAUAUCGACGGCGGUGUUUGGCACCUCGAUGUCGGCUCAUCACAUCCUGGGGCUGAAGUAGGUCCCAAGGGUAUGGCUGUUCGCCAUUUAAAGUGGUACGCGAGCUGGGUUUAGAACGUCGUGAGACAGUUCGGUCCCUA
rnacentral:rRNA from 1 species